UGUUAAGGAAACACUGAGUUCACAUAAUUGCAGGUAGAGGACAACAAACUGCUUAAGAAAGAUGGCUGCCAAUAAAUAUUCAGUCUGCUUCGUGAAUGACUUGACUGGAUCUUGUUUGGUGAGGUUUAAAAAAAACAAAUAUGUCUUGGACACUUUCUUUCAAUUAAAUGUACCGUAAAAUCCGGUAUAUAAGACGCACUUUUAACACCUAUUUUUUCGUCUUAAAAGUUGGCUGCGUCUUAUACACCGGUGCGACCAAAUAUACCAGUAUUAAAUACUGAAACACACGCCGUCAUUACAGCGGGGCAGCAGCCACUAUCACUGCGACCUGACGUGAUUAAAAACCCAUCCCCAUUCAUUGUGUAUUGAAAGCUGAGUGCACGCUGUGCUGGGAAAGACGGCGACACAGACCAGGCUGGCUGCGUGACUCUUUCCACAUCUUUUCUCCCUCACGAGGUCAUAAUCAUUCAUUUACAGAAAACAGUGGUGUAUUGUUCCGUAAAUAAACCUUGUGGAGUGUUCUUUUGAUUGAAAGAGUCCUAUAUUAAAGUUAAAGAGUGACCAGCGGAGUCGGGCAGAACGACUCGCAAGCUAGCAGGUCUGUGCCUCACAAGUCACAACUUUCCCUGCAGCAGGCUGAGAGCUCAACUACCGUACUGUAGCUAGUAGGAGCGCAAACUCCCGAAAAAACUGCACGUUGUAGACAUCGCUGAACACAAUAUAAAUCGUCACGCAGGAAAACAGUUUUUUUUCUCUUUAAGAGACCUUCAAAACAGGGUGCAUCUUAUAUACUGGUGCGACUUAUAUUCCGGAUUUUACGGUAUAUAAA